rnacentral:rRNA from 1 species
UCCGUAGGUGGAUAAUUAAGUCAGAGGUGAAAUCCUGCAGCUCAACUGUAGAAUUGCCUUUGAUACUGGUUAUCUUGAGUCAUUAUGAAGUGGUUAGAGUGUGUAGUGUAGCGGUGAAAUGCAUAGAUAUUACACAGAAUACCGAUUGCGAAGGCAGAUCACUAAUAAUGUACUGACACUGAGGGACGAAAGCGUGGGGAGCGAACAGGAUUAGAUACCCUGGUAGUCC